CUCUGCUCUCCGAUUUUUUGUCUGAAAGCCCGAUUCCAUUCUUUGCACCAACUCCUACCGCUGAAGAAGCCAGUGAUGUGAAAGAUCUGAGAUCUUGGAAGCUCUCCACCUGCCUCAUCACAGGCAAACCAGUCCAGCGAUCUACUGCGAGAAGAACACAUCCUCGUUGGCCACUGGUCCAAGGAGAGUGAAACAUAUGUGAAGCUGACUUGAAUCCAACCUACAAUCUGGAGCUGUCACCCAGGCCUGUCUGCCAUUUCUCCAUCUGCCACUUCCAGUUUUCAGCCUUCUGCCCAGCAGCCCAAGCCAUCAUUUAAGAAGUGCCUUUUGCCUUCCGCCAUGAUUGUGAGGCUUCCCUAUCCACGUGGAACUCUAAGUUCAUUAAACCUCUUUCUUCUGUAAAUUGCCCAGUCUCAGUAGAGAGGGGGUUUCACCGUGUGUUAGCGGGGAUGGUCUUGAUCUCCUGACCUCAUGAUCCGCCUGCCUCGGCCUCCCCAAGUGCUGGGAUUACAGGAGUGAGCCACUAA
rnacentral:lncRNA from 10 species